rnacentral:rRNA from 1 species
UACGUAGGGUGCGAGCGUUAAUCGGAAUUACUGGGCGUAAAGCGUGCGCAGGCGGUUCGUUAAGUUCGUUGUGAAAGCCCCGGGCUCAACCUGGGAACUGCAAUGGAAACUGGCGGGCUUGAGUGUGGCAGAGGGGGGUGGAAUUCCACGUGUAGCAGUGAAAUGCGUAGAGAUGUGGAGGAACACCGAUGGCGAAGGCAGCCCCCUGGGCUAACACUGACGCUCAGGCACGAAAGCGUGGGGAGCGAACAGG